GACGAACGCUGGCGGCGUGCCUAAUACAUGCAAGUCGAGCGAAGUUUUUCUGGUGCUUGCACUAGAAAAACUUAGCGGCGAACGGGUGAGUAACACGUAAAGAACCUGCCUCAUAGACUGGGACAACUAUUGGAAACGAUAGCUAAUACCGGAUAACAGUAUUUCUCGCAUGAGAGAUAUUUAAAAGUUGGUUAUGCUAACGCUAUGAGAUGGCUUUGCGGUGCAUUAGCUAGUUGGUGGGGUAAAGGCCCACCAAGGCGACGAUGCAUAGCCGACCUGAGAGGGUGAUCGGCCACACUGGGACUGAGACACGGCCCAGACUCCUACGGGAGGCAGCAGUAGGGAAUCUUCCGCAAUGGGCGAAAGCCUGACGGAGCAACGCCGCGUGAGUGAAGAAGGAUUUCGGUUCGUAAAGCUCUGUUGUUAGGGAAGAAUGGAUAUGUAGUAACUAUACAUGUAAGAGACGGUACCUAACCAGAAAGCCACGGCUAACUACGUG
rnacentral:rRNA from 1 species